CCUGAGCGAGUGUGUCGUGCGUACCGUUGCUGUCGCCAGUCCGCGCGCGCUCCGCGACGAAAUCCUUCCUCGGCCCCCUCCUCCUCCUCCUCCUCCUCCUCUCCUUGGCGCCGUCGCGACUCUCGCCUGGCUGCUGCUGCUGCUUCGUGUCGCCUUCCAUUUCGUGCAGAACGAUUCAUUCGCAAACGAAACAUCUUACGGUGCGCCAGAGAUCGUUGUGAAGCCUAGCUUAUUUCACCUUCGACAAGAAGACGACCUCUCACCAACAGGUUGUCGAGAUCCAGGAGGCAAGAAGCAACGAAGGGAUGGCAAGUUCGACUUGAUCAACCGACGAUAGCCGAAGAAGAUGACUGUUGUGAAUGUCUACAGAAAUUGACAAAUUUUUAAUCAAUUUGUAUUUUUCAUAUCGAGCAAACCUACGGUCUGAACGUAAGGAAGAUUCAUCCUUAAGACCUAGAUUUGUUCAGCGUAUGAAUAAAUGAUCGUUAUCAGUCAUAUUAUGGGAGAUGUCAUGUAUAUAUAUUCGCAUUUUUAUAUGUAAAAUAAUACUUGUUUAUUUUUACUAGAUAUAUAUUGAUCGUUAUCAGUCAUAUUAUGGGAGAUAUGAAUAUCUAAUCACUUCUUCAUAUAUAAAAUAACGCUUUGUUUAUUUUUAUUAGAUAUACAUUGAUCACUAUCAUUCAAAUUAUGGGAGAUGUCAUGGAUAUAUAUAUUCACAUUUCCAUAUAUAAAAUAACGCUUUGUUUACUUUUACUACAUAUAUAUUGAUCACUAUCAGUCACAUUAUGGAAGAUGUCAUGAAUAUGUAUUCACAUUUUCAAAUAUAAAAUAACAGUUUAGUUUUACUAGAUAUAUACUGAUCAUCAGUCACAUUAUGGGAGAUGUCAUGAAUAUGUAUCCGCAUUUUCAUAUAUUAAAUUAAAUAACAUUCACCUGCUUAUUUUUACUAGUAAAUGUAUUGAUGAUUAUCAGUCAUAUUAGGGGAGACUAUGUUAUACUGUCUAUUUUUAUUGUUAACAAAUGUCUAUAUAAACAUCAUCGUAUAUAUCUUUAUAUUUGCAUGACUGUUUACAAAAAAAGAGUCGCCCAAACAACAGCAUUGUUCAGUCAUUUUCUGUAAUCCAUUAAACUACCACAAAGGGGAUGUAUAUCUAUAAAAUUAUUAUAGAAAUGUGCUGAACUGAAACAUUAUUGUAAAUGUUGGUUUUUUUUUUAAUCAGAACUUAAUUUUUGAAAUGUCUUCACAUUAACUUACUAGUCGUGCCAAAGAAUAAAAUUUGCAAUAUCUUAAAAUGUUAAAAUCUAAUAUUUCAUUUAAAACGUUGUGCUUGUAUGCAUUAUUCAGCUUUCCUUAGAAUCAAGUGAAAAUCGAAUUUGGGAAUGUUACUGACUUGGAAUAUCGAACUUCAAUGUAUCUCUUGGAAUGUUGAACUCAUUCUAACUCUUGAGACUGUCCGUUGAAAGCUAACAUUUCAAUAUGUCGUUUGUCAUGUAUUGCAAAGAUUACUUUUAUUGCAUUUUCAAUUCGUAUGUCAAGCUUAUUGUGCCAUUUAAAUUAUUUAAUCCGGUAAGUAAAAUAGAUAUUUUUUUGGUCUCAACUCGACUGCCCCAACCUCGCCAACCCCUGCCAGCGAGAGAGCGAGCAAGCAAGGUAAGUGCUUUUCAAAAUCCAGAACGCAGUCAGACAAUUUCUACCAUCAUGGCAUCACAGAUAAAGGUAAGAUAUGUCAAAUCAAAUACCUAUCACCCACGCCAUUUUCUAAAUGACAUUUAAAAUUCCAAAAUUUCAAAUGAAGUUCAAAUUUCCAAAAUUUCUAAAUGACAUUUAAAUUUCCAAAAAUUUCUAAAUGACAUUUAAAUUUCCAAAAUUUCUAAAUGGCAUUC